GAUGAACGCUGGCGGCGUGCCUAAUACAUGCAAGUCGAGCGAACGGACGAGAAGCUUGCUUCUCUGAUGUUAGCGGCGGACGGGUGAGUAACACGUGGAUAACCUACCUAUAAGACUGGGAUAACUUCGGGAAACCGGAGCUAAUACCGGAUAAUAUUUUGAACCGCAUGGUUCAAAAGUGAAAGACGGUCUUGCUGUCACUUAUAGAUGGAUCCGCGCUGCAUUAGCUAGUUGGUAAGGUAACGGCUUACCAAGGCAACGAUGCAUAGCCGACCUGAGAGGGUGAUCCGCCAAACUGGAACUGAGACACGGUCCAGACUCCUACGGGAGGCAGCAGUAGGGAAUCUUCCGCAAAGGGCGAAAGCCUGACGGAGCAACGCCGCGUGAGUGAUGAAGGUCUUCGGAUCGUAAAACUCUGUUAUUAGGGAAGAACAUAUGUGUAAGUAACUGUGCACAUCUUGACGGUACCUAAUCAGAAAGCCACGGCUAACUACGUG
rnacentral:rRNA from 1 species